rnacentral:rRNA from 1 species
AUUGAACGCUGGCGGAAUGCUUUACACAUGCCAGUCGAACGGCAGCACGGGAGCUUGCUCCUGGUGGCGAGUGGCGAACGGGUGAGUAACAUAUCGGAACGUACCCAGUCGUGGGGGAUAACUAUCCGAAAGGAUAGCUAAUACCGCAUACGUCCUGAGGGAGAAAGCGGGGGAUCGCAAGACCUCGCGCGAUUGGAGCGGCCGAUAUCGGAUUAGCUAGUUGGUGGGGUAAAGGCUCACCAAGGCGACGAUCCGUAGCGGGUCUGAGAGGACGACCCGCCACACUGGAACUGAGACACGGUCCAGACUCCUACGGGAGGCAGCAGUGGGGAAUUUUGGACAAUGGGGGCAACCCUGAUCCAGCCAUUCCGCGUGAGUGAAGAAGGCCUUCGGGUUGUAAAGCUCUUUCAGCAGGAACGAAACGGUCGGCUUUAAUAAAGUCGGCUAAUGACGGUACCUGCAGAAGAAGCACCGGCUAACUACGUG